rnacentral:rRNA from 1 species
CUCUACGGCCAUACCAACCUGAACGUGCCUGAUCUCGUCUGAUCUCGUAAGAUAAGCAAGGUCGGGCCUAGUUAGUACUUGGAUGGGAGGAAUAAGCUCUUGACUUAAAAAAAAGUAGCCUCAGAUC